UCCCUAUAUACCUGAAGCCUUCUGAAGUGGAAUUCAUUCUGGUUGCCUGUCAAGGAAGAAAAAGCUACAAUUACUUUCCAACUGCUGCAAGUGUCCUGAUCUGUAUGCGUAAGAGAGAGUCCCAUAUAAGCAGGGGCCAAAUGAAGGACUCAAGUACUGCUCUGGUACAUGGCUCAUGCAGGAUUUGCAGCCUUUGCUGUAAAGAAUUUAUGCUCUAAAAGAAGGGAAAGAAGGAAGGAGAAACAACCUGGCUUGCCUGUGGCUGACAAACUGGCAUUCAGCAGGAGGAGGAGUAAUUCAAUCAGAGGGCUUGACACCGUGGCUCCCGAGGGGACAGCUGGGAAAACAACUGUCACCUCCAGCGGGGUGACAGAAAUAGUUUGGUGUGAGAAGUUGAAAGGGACGAACGUCCCCUGUUUGGCCACGCAUGGUGGGAUGCUCCUUGGUUUCCUUGGGACCGUGGCUGGUUUAACAGCAUCUUUCUUGCUGGGAAGUCAACCUCCUGCCACUGAUGGUCACACAGAAAUGUCAGCACGUUGCAAUGGUCCUGAAGUCAGCAUAUUUGGAUAAGUGCAGCUGGCAGCUUUCAGAUGGGGUUGGGAGGAACCAAGGGAUGGAGCAGUCCCUGCAGUUCCCAUCCACUGUUGAGGCUGCACUGCUCUGAAGGACGGUGCUGGAACUGGCUCAGUGAGCGCAGCCCGGAGCCUGAGUGAGAUAUGACAUCUGAAUCUCUCCAUAAACCACAGCUGGAAAGUCUCUACUUCAGUCAGAAUGGACAUGGUGCACUGCUUUCAGCUUAGAAAAAUCAAAUUGCCACUGUCUUGAAGUGGAAAGUGUGCUACUGUGGCCUGAUGUGUUCAUUUAGGGCAUCUCAGCGUACAGCACCUCAUUACUGACCACAUCUCCUGGAUGUGGCUGUUUGCUUCAUUUUGAAGGAUGCUGUUCAGCCUUCUGGAAGCUCCCAUUGCCAGAUUGGUCCAGGCAGCUCAGCUGCUGCUCCUCUGUGGAUGGGAACAGAAGAGGAAAGGGUCUCCAGCAGGGAGCUUGUGGACUGAAAGCCUCAUGAAACCCAAAACUUAAGAGAAGUCCCUCAUUAGAAGAGAUUUUGCAAAUGGUAACGCUGCACUGUUUCAAUCAGUUCAUUUGACGCCCACUCAUUUUGAAGUAAUUUAUCACAAUUAAGAUAGGCGUUGUAACACCAUGUUGAAAACUCUAGCAAAUUACAUACUAUUAUGCCAUUCAGUGAUGUUUGCAAGCCUACUUCUUUUUCUUUUAUAUAAAAGAUCAACAUUUACAUAAAUCCUUAUUGCUGAGCCCAGAGCCCAUCUCUCAUGGAAGGAGGGGCUGCAGGGUUGCACUGCUGGUCCUGGGGUGCAGGCCUGGGAUCUGGGAGCUGCAGUAGGGUUGUUGCCCAGCAUCACUUGGGUCACUGCCUCUGAAUGCCUCAGCCCCAGCCCUGAGGGCCCAGUCUGGCACUGGAGGUUGUGCUUACAUCAUGUCCCAUCCAGCUCCAGGGGGAAACUGAAUCUGAUGCACUCCAGGGCUGCUGCCAGCCAUAUAAAAGCCAGGGCAGAAACAACCUGAUUCAUCUCCAGUGCUGUUUCUGUGUUCAUGCGCCCAGGAGCCUUGCUUUUCCACUAGCGAUAAGAAAAUCCUCCUGUUUCUUGAACCAGGGGAUGUUCUGGGGGGCUGAAGUGAGGAGGUCAAAUGAUUUCUGCUAAAUCAACCAAAGCUGCAGCUCCCCAGACAGCCAGAGCGAGCAGAGCAACGCUGACGGCUGUUGGGAUGUUUCAGUCUGCAUUUUCCAGAGGAAAUAUUUCCAUCGUGAAAUUUACCAGGCAUUAUUUUUUAAGUAGUGGGGUCAAAAAGGAUCAGGAUCAGUAAGCAAAGCGAAGCGCUUCAGUGCAGGUCCCACAACGCGCCCUGCUUGAGUUGUCAAGCAAUGUAUUUCCUCGCCAAACUUUCAUUUCACUGAGGCGAAUACACCACGAAAAAGAAGUCUCAAAGCAGCAGAGGAUGACAAAUGGGUUUGGAUUAUUUUUUCCCCCGCCAGUUUUUCCAUCUUCUUCUUGUUAUUAAUGAAAGGCCCCGGUUCCCCCCUCUGCGGCCCCACCUUCCAUGCCCCAGUGGUUGGGACUAUGGGGCAGGACCGGUGCUGAUGCUAAGAGAGGUAGCACAAAAUCUUGCAUGAUGUUUUUCCUCUCCCUUCCUGGAAAAAUUUGUAAAAUGCUCCUUGAAAAGAAGACAAAAUAAGUGCAUCCUGGGGUCUUUUCAAGCUCUAAAGCAGCUCUUUUCUUUAACUAUGAACAAUAAGGACAAACGACAGCUGGACUUGCAAGUGGUUGCAGUUCUGGGGUUUGUUUUUCCCUCAGUGCAAUGGCUCUCCAUCCAGCAGGACUGAACACAACGAGGGUGGAUAGAUGGGGACAGCAGCAUCCCAGCUGCCCCGUGCCACCAAAGCUCUGCAGCUCGGCACUUGCCUCCGUGAGCUGCCAAGGAGAAAAAUGUAACUCUUGUUCGGUGCCAUCAGCAGACAAACAAUUUGUAAAAGACAAUCUUCCUGACAGAUCAUACUCCUUUUCCUGCAUGAAAACAACUUGUGGGCUUCUCUUUCCACCUUCGCCAAGCUUUUGUUUAUCCCAAGUGCUGUCGAUGAGCUGAGUGGAUUUCAGCGCAGCAAUUCAAGGAUGAAAAUAGAAAACUGCACAGGUUUGAGCUUUGCAGGUGGCUCCAACCCUGAGCAAAUGCCCCAGCUCACUUCUUUGCCUUUCUGCAGAGCUCAGCCCCAGCUCUGUGGGCAAACAGCUCAAGGUCUUGCUCCCAGAGGCCCAAUUUUGGCUAAUCUCAUCCUAGGAGAGAAUUGCAGAGGUUUUGGUGACUUUUGAUGCCUUCUUAUCUGUGCAGGAGAUGCCCCAGAGCAGCCUCAGGUGGCUUCAGACCUCAGCAACGUGCUCAGAAUUCUUCCUCUGGAGACUGAUGCUUUUCUGUGAGAUAAGAAAGUGAUUAUUUGGGGGCACAAAGGGAGCUGAGCAUUCAUCACCAUGAAAAGUCACAUCUGGAUCCAUCAUCUGAGCCAGGCGCCAGGAGUGAGGACCAGAUGCUUUAGGAAGCAUCACUCCUGUCUUAGAGUUUACAUUUCCCAGAGCCACAGGAGUUAUUUGGUUCAGACUUUGGGUGGAAGUCCAGCUCUUGCUUUCUUUGCUGUGGAAGGUGUUAGCAGUAGUUCAGAUUAAAAAAAAAACAACCAACCUUUUUUCCUGCCAAAUGGAGUGUUUUGGAUCUUAAAGGAAAAGACAGUUGGGAGCAUGCACGGAUCUCCAUCUCCUAUGUUAAACCCAGUUCAAAGGGUACAGAGAUGGAGCGGGCACACCAGCGCUGGCAGCUAAAGGGGACUUGAAAACAGCCGCUGCAAAAACCCAGUUCUGGGAAAUCCCAGGGCUGACAUUUAUUUACAUAAAACAUAUAAUUGAAAUGUCAGAAGAGAACAAUUAAAAGCAUCAACUGACAUUAAUGUUAAUGAAAGCAGCACCGUGACUAUCUGGUUUCUGUGAAAAGGAAAGAUUGGUUUGGGCUGCUUUUCCCUUUCCAUUAAUUCCCUUAAUCUGCUCUCAGCACACCGAGCAUUCUGAUCUGCUAAAUACAACGUGCCUCCAGCAGCUCAAUAGAUCUUCCUUCAGCAGCGCGGCGAAGCUCUCACGCUUCUUGCUGUCAGCUUUCUGCACUGGAAGUGACACUUUCCUGUGGAUGUUUUUUUUUUUUUCAUUUUUUUUACAGAACAUGAUGGGAACCAGUGUGAUGCCCCACGGGACAUCCCAUCCCCCGCAGCCCCGAGCAGUCUGCUUGCUCUGUGGUGUUAUUGCACACCGUGCACCAGAGCCCCCCCAUCAUUAGCCCCUCUCUGUGUGCUGUCACGGGGGUCUCAAUGGGCUGACCAUAGGACAGCAGCAAUUGGGACAAAAGCGGGUGUUUCCCACAAAAGUUUUGGUUCAUCACAGCACGCAGCGAGCUGCCAGAACGUGGCAGUCAUCAGAGCUGGCAACCAGUGGCAGAAAAUG